rnacentral:rRNA from 1 species
CUUCUGUAGGGUGAACCUGCGGAAGGAUCAUUACUGAUUUGCUUAAUUGCACCACAUGUGUUUUUUAUUGAACAAAUUUCUUUGGUGGCGGGAGCAAUCCUACCGCCAGAGGUUAUAACUAAACCAAACUUUUUAUUUACAGUCAAACUUGAUUUAUUAUUACAAUAGUCAAAACUUUCAACAACGGAUCUCUUGGUUCUCGCAUCGAUGAAGAACGCAGCGAAAUGCGAUACGUAAUAUGAAUUGCAGAUAUUCGUGAAUCAUCGAAUCUUUGAACGCACAUUGCGCCCUUUGGUAUUCCAAAGGGCAUGCCUGUUUGAGCGUCAUUUCUCCCUCAAACCCCCGGGUUUGGUGUUGAGCAAUACGCUAGGUUUGUUUGAAAGAAUUUAACGUGGAAACUUAUUUUAAGCGACUUAGGUUUAUCCAAAAACGCUUAUUUUGCUAGUGGCCACCACAAUUUAUUUCAUAACUUUGACCUCAAAUCAGGUAGGACUACCCGCUGAACUUAAGCAUAUCAAUAA